UAACCUGCCCAAGAGACUGGGAUAACACCUGGAAACAGAUGCUAAUACCGGAUAACAACACUAGACGCAUGUCUAGAGUUUAAAAGAUGGUUCUGCUAUCACUCUUGGAUGGACCUGCGGUGCAUUAGCUAGUUGGUAAGGUAACGGCUUACCAGGGCAAUGAUGCAUAGCCGAGUUGAGAGACUGAUCGGCCACAUUGGGACUGAGACACGGCCCAAACUCCUACGGGAGGCAGCAG
rnacentral:rRNA from 1 species